AGCGUACACGGUGGAUGCCCUGGCAGUCAGAGGCGAUGAAGGACGUGCUAAUCUGCGAUAAGCGUCGGUAAGGUGAUAUGAACCGUUAUAACCGGCGAUUUCCGAAUGGGGAAACCCAGUGUGUUUCGACACACUAUCAUUAACUGAAUCCAUAGGUUAAUGAGGCGAACCGGGGGAACUGAAACAUCUAAGUACCCCGAGGAAAAGAAAUCAACCGAGAUUCCCCCAGUAGCGGCGAGCGAACGGGGAGCAGCCCAGAGCCUGAAUCAGUGUGUGUGUUAGUGGAAGCGUCUGGAAAGGCGCGCGAUACAGGGUGACAGCCCCGUACACAAAAAUGCACAUGCUGUGAGCUCGAUGAGUAGGGCGGGACACGUGGUAUCCUGUCUGAAUAUGGGGGGACCAUCCUCCAAGGCUAAAUACUCCUGACUGACCGAUAGUGAACCAGUACCGUGAGGGAAAGGCGAAAAGAACCCCGGCGAGGGGAGUGAAAAAGAACCUGAAACCGUGUACGUACAAGCAGUGGGAGCACGCUUAGGCGUGUGACUGCGUACCUUUUGUAUAAUGGGUCAGCGACUUAUAUUCUGUAGCAAGGUUAACCGAAUAGGGGAGCCGAAGGGAAACCGAGUCUUAACUGGGCGUUAAGUUGCAGGGUAUAGACCCGAAACCCGGUGAUCUAGCCAUGGGCAGGUUGAAGGUUGGGUAACACUAACUGGAGGACCGAACCGACUAAUGUUGAAAAAUUAGCGGAUGACUUGUGGCUGGGGGUGAAAGGCCAAUCAAACCGGGAGAUAGCUGGUUCUCCCCGAAAGCUAUUUAGGUAGCGCCUCGUGAAUUCAUCUCCGGGGGUAGAGCACUGUUUCGGCAAGGGGGUCAUCCCGACUUACCAACCCGAUGCAAACUGCGAAUACCGGAGAAUGUUAUCACGGGAGACACACGGCGGGUGCUAACGUCCGUCGUGAAGAGGGAAACAACCCAGACCGCCAGCUAAGGUCCCAAAGUCAUGGUUAAGUGGGAAACGAUGUGGGAAGGCCCAGACAGCCAGGAUGUUGGCUUAGAAGCAGCCAUCAUUUAAAGAAAGCGUAAUAGCUCACUGGUCGAGUCGGCCUGCGCGGAAGAUGUAACGGGGCUAAACCAUGCACCGAAGCUGCGGCAGCGACGCUUAUGCGUUGUUGGGUAGGGGAGCGUUCUGUAAGCCUGCGAAGGUGUGCUGUGAGGCAUGCUGGAGGUAUCAGAAGUGCGAAUGCUGACAUAAGUAACGAUAAAGCGGGUGAAAAGCCCGCUCGCCGGAAGACCAAGGGUUCCUGUCCAACGUUAAUCGGGGCAGGGUGAGUCGACCCCUAAGGCGAGGCCGAAAGGCGUAGUCGAUGGGAAACAGGUUAAUAUUCCUGUACUUGGUGUUACUGCGAAGGGGGGACGGAGAAGGCUAUGUUGGCCGGGCGACGGUUGUCCCGGUUUAAGCGUGUAGGCUGGUUUUCCAGGCAAAUCCGGAAAAUCAAGGCUGAGGCGUGAUGACGAGGCACUACGGUGCUGAAGCAACAAAUGCCCUGCUUCCAGGAAAAGCCUCUAAGCAUCAGGUAACAUCAAAUCGUACCCCAAACCGACACAGGUGGUCAGGUAGAGAAUACCAAGGCGCUUGAGAGAACUCGGGUGAAGGAACUAGGCAAAAUGGUGCCGUAACUUCGGGAGAAGGCACGCUGAUAUGUAGGUGAGGUCCCUCGCGGAUGGAGCUGAAAUCAGUCGAAGAUACCAGCUGGCUGCAACUGUUUAUUAAAAACACAGCACUGUGCAAACACGAAAGUGGACGUAUACGGUGUGACGCCUGCCCGGUGCCGGAAGGUUAAUUGAUGGGGUUAGCCGCAAGGCGAAGCUCUUGAUCGAAGCCCCGGUAAACGGCGGCCGUAACUAUAACGGUCCUAAGGUAGCGAAAUUCCUUGUCGGGUAAGUUCCGACCUGCACGAAUGGCGUAAUGAUGGCCAGGCUGUCUCCACCCGAGACUCAGUGAAAUUGAACUCGCUGUGAAGAUGCAGUGUACCCGCGGCAAGACGGAAAGACCCCGUGAACCUUUACUAUAGCUUGACACUGAACAUUGAGCCUUGAUGUGUAGGAUAGGUGGGAGGCUUAGAAGUGUGGACGCCAGUCUGCAUGGAGCCGACCUUGAAAUACCACCCUUUAAUGUUUGAUGUUCUAACGUUGACCCGUAAUCCGGGUUGCGGACAGUGUCUGGUGGGUAGUUUGACUGGGGCGGUCUCCUCCUAAAGAGUAACGGAGGAGCACGAAGGUUGGCUAAUCCUGGUCGGACAUCAGGAGGUUAGUGCAAUGGCAUAAGCCAGCUUGACUGCGAGCGUGACGGCGCGAGCAGGUGCGAAAGCAGGUCAUAGUGAUCCGGUGGUUCUGAAUGGAAGGGCCAUCGCUCAACGGAUAAAAGGUACUCCGGGGAUAACAGGCUGAUACCGCCCAAGAGUUCAUAUCGACGGCGGUGUUUGGCACCUCGAUGUCGGCUCAUCACAUCCUGGGGCUGAAGUAGGUCCCAAGGGUAUGGCUGUUCGCCAUUUAAAGUGGUACGCGAGCUGGGUUUAGAACGUCGUGAGACAGUUCGGUCCCUAUCUGCCGUGGGCGCUGGAGAACUGAGGGGGGCUGCUCCUAGUACGAGAGGACCGGAGUGGACGCAUCACUGGUGUUCGGGUUGUCAUGCCAAUGGCACUGCCCGGUAGCUAAAUGCGGAAGAGAUAAGUGCUGAAAGCAUCUAAGCACGAAACUUGCCCCGAGAUGAGUUCU
rnacentral:rRNA from 1 species